rnacentral:rRNA from 1 species
UACGUAGGGUGCAAGCGUUAAUCGGAAUUACUGGGCGGAAAGCGUGCGCAGGCGGUUUUGUAAGUCAGAUGUGAAAUCCCCGGGCUUAACCUGGGAACUGCGUUUGAAACUACAAGGCUAGAGUGUGGCAGAGGGGGGUGGAAUUCCACGUGUAGCAGUGAAAUGCGUAGAGAUGUGGAGGAACACCGAUGGCGAAGGCAGCCCCCUGGGUUAACACUGACGCUCAGGCACGAAAGCGUGGGGAGCAAACAGG